UGGCUCUCGCAUCGAUGAAGAACGCAGCGAAAUGCGAUAAGUAAUGUGAAUUGCAGAAUUCAGUGAAUCAUCGAAUCUUUGAACGCACCUUGCACCUCGUGGCUUACCACGGGGUACGCCCGUUCGAGCGUCACGUUCACCUCGCCUCUUGGCGGAUCUGGGUGCUGCCGUAGCGGCUCGCCCGAAAUACAUUAGCGAGGGUGGACUCGAGCCCGGCGUGAUAACCUUUGCGCUGCGUGAGACGAAGCCCUGCUCCGAAUCCCGUCGCGUCGAUGGAACUUCUAAGUUUGACCUCGAAUCGGGCGGGACUACCCGCUGA
rnacentral:misc_RNA from 1 species